rnacentral:rRNA from 1 species
UACGUAGGGUGCAAGCGUUGUCCGGAAUUAUUGGGCGUAAAGAGCUCGUAGGCGGUCCGUCACGUCGGCUGUGAAAACCCGAGGCUCAACCUCGGGCCUGCAGUCGAUACGGGCAGACUAGAGUUCGGUAGGGGAGACUGGAAUUCCUGGUGUAGCGGUGAAAUGCGCAGAUAUCAGGAGGAACACCGGUGGCGAAGGCGGGUCUCUGGGCCGAAACUGACGCUGAGGUGCGAAAGCGUGGGGAGCGAACAGG